AUGCACGCUGGCGGCGUGCCUCAUCCCUGCCAGUCGCGCGAACAGACGAGGAGCUUGCUCCUCUGACGUUAGCGGCGGACGGGUGAGUAACACGUGGAUAACCUACCUAUAAGACUGGGAUAACUUCGGGAAACCGGAGCUAAUACCGGAUAAUAUAUUGAACCGCAUGGUUCAAUAGUGAAAGACGGUUUUGCUGUCACUUAUAGAUGGAUCCGCGCCGCAUUAGCUAGUUGGUAAGGUAACGGCUUACCAAGGCAACGAUGCGUAGCCGACCUGAGAGGGUGAUCGGCCACACUGGAACUGAGACACGGUCCAGACUCCUACGGGAGGCAGCAGUAGGGAAUCUUCCGCAAUGGGCGAAAGCCUGACGGAGCAACGCCGCGUGAGUGAUGAAGGUCUUCGGAUCGUAAAACUCUGUUAUUAGGGAAGAACAAAUGUGUAAGUAACUAUGCACGUCUUGACGGUACCUAAUCAGAAAGCCACGGCUAACUACGU
rnacentral:rRNA from 1 species